rnacentral:rRNA from 1 species
AGUGAACGCUGGCGGCAGGCCUAACACAUGCAAGUCGAACGGCAGCACAAGAGAGCUUGCUCUCUGGGUGGCGAGUGGCGGACGGGUGAGGAAUGCAUCGGAAUCUGCCCAUUUGUGGGGGAUAACCUCGGGAAACCGGGACUAAUACCGCAUACGACCUACGGGUGAAAGCAGGGGAUCUUCGGACCUUGCGCAGAUGGAUGAGCCGAUGCCGGAUUAGCUAGUUGGAGGGGUAAAGGCCCACCAAGGCGACGAUCCGUAGCUGGUCUGAAAGGAUGAUCAGCCACACUGGGACUGAGACACGGCCCAGACUCCUACGGGAGGCAGCAGUGGGGAAUAUUGGACAAUGGGCGCAAGCCUGAUCCAGCCAUGCCGCGUGUGUGAAGAAGGCCUUCGGGUUGUAAAGCACUUUUGUUGGGAAAGAAAAGCAGCCGGUUAAUACCCGGUUGUCAUGACGGUACCCAAAGAAUAAGCACCGGCUAACUUCGUG